rnacentral:misc_RNA from 1 species
UGUGUUAAGCAAGAAUCUAACGAAGUAACAUUAAAGCUAACAAGAACAAGUCCUUUGGGUCUCUGGGAGAAUGAUGCUAUGAGGGAAGCUCAAGAAAGAGAUGAUGACCUUCGGCACAUCAUCACAUGGAAGAAACGGGGUGACGUAAAACCAAUCUGGAGUGAGGCGUACUGGGCUCAAUGGGACAGUCUGAUACUUCAAAAUGGAAUACUCUACCGCAAA